AACCCCGUAGCUCAGUUGGUAGAGCAUGGUGUUUGCAACGCCAGGGUUGUGGGUUCGAUUCCCACGGGGGUCC
rnacentral:tRNA from 1 species